ensembl:rRNA 5S_rRNA 5S ribosomal RNA
UGUAACAGCCAUAUCAAUCGGCAGCCCAAAACCGGUUACUUACUGAAGCUAAGCAGGGCUGAGCCUGGUUAGUUAGUACAUGGAUGGGAGACCACAUGGGAAAACUAGGUUGCUGUUGAAA